CUCUUCCUGUCCGGCUGAGGGGGCGGGGACGUGUGGAUCUCUUGUUCUGAGGGAAGCCAUGUACAUCAUUAGCAGUUCUAUAAAGAGGAUCACAUGGCAAGAAACUGAAACAUUCUGCCAGCUGCCCUGUGAAAGAACUUGGAAGUAGACCCUCCAGCCCUAAUCAAGUCUUCAGAGACUGUACUCAGCCAACAAUUGACUGCAACCUCAUAAGAGACCCUGAGCCAGACCGCCCAACGAGAAACUGUGUGAGAUAAUGUUUGUUGUAUUAAGAUGCUAAAUUUGAGGGUCAUUUGUUAUACAAUGAGAGAAGUAGGAGGUAAGGGACUAUGAAAAGUUGGUAGAGUCAAGAAGUUGUAGGUUCCUGUGGUGGUCUAAAGUUUGUUAGAACAGGAUACUCAAAAGAAUGUGCUAAGAUAAGAGGUGGUCUGAGAGUAGGCUGCUUGGAGCUGAGUGUAUGCAGAGGUUGUGGUUAUUGGUGCUGUCAAAGUCUAUGGUAUGACCAAAGGAGGGAAAGCUAAGGUGGGUUAAAGAACAAGAUCACUGGAGAAGAGGUCAUAGAAACCAAACACCAGAGCAUUGAUUGGAUGAUCCAUGAGGAUACUGAAAUCACCAAAAAAUAUAACAAGAAUGAUGUUGGAGAAAGCCAGAAGCAACAAUCUUGAAAAGGCUUGGAGGUUGGUGGACUAUGGAAAUUAUGUUAGACAAAAAACAAAUGCAAGCAGUUUUCUUAUUCGAGUUCAAAAUGGGCUGCAAAGCAGCAGAGACAACUUGCAACAUCAAGAGUGCAUUUGGCCCAGGAACUGCUAAUGAACGUACAGUGCAGUGGUGGUUCAAGAAGUUUUGCAAAGGAUGGCCAGGCGCAGCAGCUCACACCUAUAAUCCCAGCACUUUGGGAGGCCAAGGCAUCCGGAUCACUUGAAGUCAGGAGUUCGAGGCCAGCCAGGCCAACAUGGUGAAACCCCAUCUCUACUAAAAAUAAAAAAAUUAGCUGGGCAUGGUGGCAUGCACCUGUAAUCCCAGCUACUCGGGAGGCUGAGGUGGGAGAAGCGCUUGAACCCAGGAGGCAGAGGUUGCAGUGAGCUGAGAUUGUGCCACUGCACUCCAGUGACAGAACAAGACUCCGUCUCAAUUUAAAAAGAAAGAAAGAAAGAAAGAAAGUUUUGCAAAGGAGCUGAGAGCCUUGAAGAUGAUGAGCAUAGUGACCGGCCAUGGGAAGUUGACAAUGACCAAUUGAGAGCAAUCAUUGAAGCUGAUCCUCUUAUAGCUACAUGAGAAGUUGCCUAAGAACUCAAUGUUGACCAUUCUAUCGUCACUCAGCAUUUGAAGCAAAUUGGAAAGGUAAAAAAGCUCGAUAAGUGGAUGCCUCAUGAGCCAACUGAAAAUAAAAAAAAUAUAUCGUUUUGAAGUGUUGUCUUCUCUUGUUCUACACAACAAUGAACCAUUUCUCGAUUGGAUUGAGAUGUGCUAUGAAAAGUAGAUUUUAUACAACAGCUGGCAAUGACCAGCUCAAUGGUUGGGCCCAGAAGAAGCUCCACAGCACUUCCCAAAGCACCAAAAACAGGUCAUGGUCACCGUUUGGUGGUCUGCUGCCAGUCUGAUCCACUACGGCUUUCCGAAUCCCAGUGAAACCAUUACAUCUGAGAAGUAUGCUUAGCAAAUCAAUGAGGCACUGAAAAGUGCAACACCUGCAGCUGACAGUGGUCAACAGAAAGGACCCAAUUCUUCUCCACAGCAACUACAAUGCCCGACUGCAUGUCGCACAACCAACCCUUCAAAAGUUGAACAAAUUGAUCUAUGAAGUUUUGCCUCAUCCACCAUAUUCAUCUGACCUGUGGCCAACCAACUACCACUUCUUCAAGCAUCUCAACAACUUUUUGCAGAGAAAACACUUCUACAACCAGCAGGAUGCAGAAAAUACUUUUUAAGAGUUUGGCGAAUCUGGAAGCACAGCUUCUUACACUACAGGAAUAAACGAACUUAUUUCUCAUUGGCAAAAAGGUGUUGAUUGUAAUGGUUCCUAUUUUGAUUAAUAAAAAUAUAUCUGAGCCUAGUUAUAAUCACUUAAAAUUCAUGGUCCAA
rnacentral:lncRNA from 1 species